rnacentral:misc_RNA from 1 species
CUUGGCAGCCCUCUUGAAAGCAGCAACUAGUGCUGGCUCAGAGGAUGACACUGUCACUGUGACCUCUCAAGAUGGAACCAGGCUCUUUUCUGUUGAGCGACCAGCAGGUUUCACAGGUCGAAGCGAGGACCCCAAACCUGCACGACCAAAUCGGCCAAAUUUUUCAACUUCUUCCGGUCUCACAAAUGGGGGGGACUCAAAUGCCAGCUUGAGUGAAGAAGAGAAAAAGAAACUGGAAAAGUUGCAGCAGAUAAGGGUGAAAUUUUUUAGGCUUGUUCACAGACUAGGUCAUUCGCCAGAAGAGUCGAUAGCUGCACAGGUUUUAUACCGUUUGGCCCUUCUUGCAGGGAGGCAAACCAAUCAACUGUUUAGCCUUGAUGCUGCAAAGAGAGCAGCUUUGCUGCUUGAAGCAGAGGGGAAAGAUGAUUUGGACAUUUCCUUGAACAUACUUGUCCUUGGGAAA